UACGUAGGGUGCAGGCGUUAAUCGGAAUUACUGGGCGUAAAGCGUGCGUAGGCGGUUUCUUAAGUCUGCUGUGAAAGCCCCGGGCUCAACCUGGGAAUGGCGGUGGAUACUGAGAAGCUGGAGUACGGUAGAGGAAGGUGGAAUUCCCGGUGUAGCGGUGAAAUGCGUAGAGAUCGGGAGGAACAUCAGUGGCGAAGGCGGCCUUCUGGACCAGUACUGACGCUGAGGCACGAAAGCGUGGGGAGCAAACAGG
rnacentral:rRNA from 1 species